rnacentral:rRNA from 1 species
AGGGUGAACGCUGGCGGCAGGCCUAACACAUGCAAGUCGAACGGCAGCACAGAGGAGCUUGCUCCUUGGGUGGCGAGUGGCGGACGGGUGAGGAAUACAUCGGAAUCUGCCUUAUUGUGGGGGAUAACGUAGGGAAACUUACGCUAAUACCGCAUACGACCCCGCAUCGAGAGAUACGAGGUGAAAGCGGAGGACCUUCGGGCUUCGCGCGAUAAGAUGAGCCGAUGUCGGAUUAGCUUGUGGUGGGUAAGCCCACAAGGCGACGAUCCGUAGCUGGUCUGAGGAGGAUGAUCGACGCCACACCUGGAACUGAGACACGGUCCAGACUGAGUACGGGAGCAGCAGGUAGGGAAUAGUGGACAAGUGGACGACAA